rnacentral:pre_miRNA from 1 species
CUACUACUCCCUCCGUCCGAAAAUACUUGUCAUUGAAAUGGAUGUAUCUAGAUGUAUUUUAGUUCUAGACACAUCCAUUUUGAUGACAAGUAAUUCCAGAUGGAGGGAGUAUUAU